ACGCUGGCGGCAGGCCUAACACAUGCAAGUCGAGCGGUAGAGAGAAGCUUGCUUCUCUUGAGAGCGGCGGACGGGUGAGUAAUGCCUAGGAAUCUGCCUGGUAGUGGGGGAUAACGUUCGGAAACGGACGCUAAUACCGCAUACGUCCUACGGGAGAAAGCAGGGGACCUUCGGGCCUUGCGCUAUCAGAUGAGCCUAGGUCGGAUUAGCUAGUUGGUGAGGUAAUGGCUCACCAAGGCGACGAUCCGUAACUGGUCUGAGAGGAUGAUCAGUCACACUGGAACUGAGACACGGUCCAGACUCCUACGGGAGGCAGCAGUGGGGAAUAUUGGACAAUGGGCGAAAGCCUGAUCCAGCCAUGCCGCGUGUGUGAAGAAGGUCUUCGGAUUGUAAAGCACUUUAAGUUGGGAGGAAGGAUUGUAGAUUAAUACUCUGCAAUUUUGACGUUACCGACAGAAUAAGCACCGGCUAACUCUGUGCCAGCAGCCGCGGUAAUACAGAGGGUGCAAGCGUUAAUCGGAAUUACUGGGCGUAAAGCGCGCGUAGGUGGUUUGUUAAGUUGGAUGUGAAAUCCCCGGGCUCAACCUGGGAACUGCAUUCAAAACUGACUGACUAGAGUAUGGUAGAGGGUGGUGGAAUUUCCUGUGUAGCGGUGAAAUGCGUAGAUAUAGGAAGGAACACCAGUGGCGAAGGCGACCACCUGGACUAAUACUGACACUGAGGUGCGAAAGCGUGGGGAGCAAACAGGAUUAGAUACCCUGGUAGUCCACGCCGUAAACGAUGUCAACUAGCCGUUGGAAGCCUUGAGCUUUUAGUGGCGCAGCUAACGCAUUAAGUUGACCGCCUGGGGAGUACGGCCGCAAGGUUAAAACUCAAAUGAAUUGACGG
rnacentral:rRNA from 1 species